rnacentral:rRNA from 1 species
GAUGAACGCUGGCGGCGUGCUUAACACAUGAAAGUCGAACGGAAAGGCCCCUGCUUGCCGGGGUCCUCGAGUGGCGAACGGGUGCGUAACACGUGGGUGAUCUGCCCUGCACUUAGGGAUAAGCCUGGGAAACUGGGUCUAAUACCGGAUAGGACAAUGGUUUGGAUGCCAUUGUGGCAAGUUUUUCGGUUUGGGAUGGUCCCGCCGCCUUUCAGCCUGUUGGUGGGGUACUGGCCUACCAAGGCGUCGACGGGUAGCCCGCCCGAGAGGGUGUACGGCCACAUUGGCCCUGAGCUACCGCCCAGACUCCUCCGCGAGGCCGCCGUGGGGAACAUUGUACCAUGGGCGCACCCAGGACGGAGUGAAGCCCCGCGGCUGAUGACGGCCCUCGGGCUGUCAAGGCCUGUCGCCAGGCCCGAAGCGGACGUGACGGUAGCCGGACAAGAAGCACUGGCUACCUACGUG